GACGAACGCUGGCGGCGUGCUUAACACAUGCAAGUCGAACGGAAAGGCCCUGCUUUUGUGGGGUGCUCGAGUGGCGAACGGGUGAGUAACACGUGAGUAACCUGCCCUUGACUUUGGGAUAACUUCAGGAAACUGGGGCUAAUACCGGAUAGGAGCUCCUGCUGCAUGGUGGGGGUUGGAAAGUUUCGGCGGUUGGGGAUGGACUCGCGGCUUAUCAGCUUGUUGGUGGGGUAGUGGCUUACCAAGGCUUUGACGGGUAGCCGGCCUGAGAGGGUGACCGGCCACAUUGGGACUGAGAUACGGCCCAGACUCCUACGGGAGGCAGCAGUGGGGAAUAUUGCACAAUGGGCGGAAGCCUGAUGCAGCAACGCCGCGUGCGGGAUGACGGCCUUCGGGUUGUAAACCGCUUUCGCCUGUGACGAAGCGUGAGUGACGGUAAUGGGUAAAGAAGCACCGGCUAACUACGUGCCAGCAGCCGCGGUGAUACGUAGGGUGCGGGCGUUGUCCGGAUUUAUUGGGCGUAAAGGGCUCGUAGGUGGUUGAUCGCGUCGGAAGUGUAAUCUUGGGGCUUAACCCUGAGCGUGCUUUCGAUACGGGUUGACUUGAGGAAGGUAGGGGAGAAUGGAAUUCCUGGUGGAGCGGUGGAAUGCGCAGAUAUCAGGAGGAACACCAGUGGCGAAGGCGGUUCUCUGGGCCUUUCCUGACGCUGAGGAGCGAAAGCGUGGGGAGCGAACAGGCUUAGAUACCCUGGUAGUCCACGCUGUAAACGGUGGGUACUAGGUGUGGGGUCCAUUCCACGGGUUCCGUGCCGUAGCUAACGCUUUAAGUACCCCGCCUGGGGAGUACGGCCGCAAGGCUAAAACUCAAAGGAAUUGACGGGACCCCGCACAAGCGGCGGAGCAUGCGGAUUAAUUCGAUGCAACGCGUAGAACCUUACCCGGGUUUGACAUGGAUCGGGAGUGCUCAGAGAUGGGUGUGCCUCUUUUGGGGUCGGUUCACAGGUGGUGCAUGGCUGUCGUCAGCUCGUGUCGUGAGAUGUUGGGUUAAGUCCCGCAACGAGCGCAACCCUUGUUCACUGUUGCCAGCACGUUAUGGUGGGGACUCAGUGGAGACCGCCGGGGUCAACUCGGAGGAAGGUGGGGAUGACGUCAAGUCAUCAUGCCCCUUAUGUCCAGGGCUUCACGCAUGCUACAAUGGCUGGUACAGAGAGUGGCGAGCCUGUGAGGGUGAGCGAAUCUCGGAAAGCCGGUCUCAGUUCGGAUUGGGGUCUGCAACUCGACCUCAUGAAGUCGGAGUCGCUAGUAAUCGCAGAUCAGCAACGCUGCGGUGAAUACGUUCCCGGG
rnacentral:rRNA from 1 species